AUUGGUGCUUGCAUCAUGAUUUACAUUUGAGUGAGUGGCGAACUGGUGAGUAACACGUGGGAAACCUGCCCAGAAGCGGGGGAUAACACCUGGAAACAGAUGCUAAUACCGCAUAACAACUUGGACCGCAUGGUCCGAGCUUGAAAGAUGGCUUCGGCUAUCACUUUUGGAUGGUCCCGCGGCGUAUUAGCUAGAUGGUGGGGUAACGGCUCACCAUGGCAAUGAUACGUAGCCGACCUGAGAGGGUAAUCGGCCACAUUGGGACUGAGACACGGCCCAAACUCCUACGGGAGGCAGCAGUAGGGAAUCUUCCACAAUGGACGAAAGUCUGAUGGAGCAACGCCGCGUGAGUGAAGAAGGGUUUCGGCUCGUAAAACUCUGUUGUUAAAGAAGAACAUAUCUGAGAGUAACUGUUCAGGUAUUGACGGUAUUUAACCAGAAAGCCACGGCUAACUACGUGCCAGCAGCCGCGGUAAUACGUAGGUGGCAAGCGUUGUCCGGAUUUAUUGGGCGUAAAGCGAGCGCAGGCGGUUUUUUAAGUCUGAUGUGAAAGCCUUCGGCUCAACCGAAGAAGUGCAUCGGAAACUGGGAAACUUGAGUGCAGAAGAGGACAGUGGAACUCCAUGUGUAGCGGUGAAAUGCGUAGAUAUAUGGAAGAACACCAGUGGCGAAGGCGGCUGUCUGGUCUGUAACUGACGCUGAGGCUCGAAAGUAUGGGUAGCAAACAGGAUUAGAUACCCUGGUAGUCCAUACCGUAAACGAUGAAUGCUAAGUGUUGGAGGGUUUCCGCCCUUCAGUGCUGCAGCUAACGCAUUAAGCAUUCCGCCUGGGGAGUACGGCCGCAAGGCUGAAACUCAAAGGAAUUGACGGGGGCCCGCACAAGCGGUGGAGCAUGUGGUUUAAUUCGAAGCUACGCGAAGAACCUUACCAGGUCUUGACAUACUAUGCAAAUCUAAGAGAUUAGACGUUCCCUUCGGGGACAUGGAUACAGGUGGUGCAUGGUUGUCGUCAGCUCGUGUCGUGAGAUGUUGGGUUAAGUCCCGCAACGAGCGCAACCCUUAUUAUCAGUUGCCAGCAUUAAGUUGGGCACUCUGGUGAGACUGCCGGUGACAAACCGGAGGAAGGUGGGGAUGACGUCAAAUCAUCAUGCCCCUUAUGACCUGGGCUACACACGUGCUACAAUGGAUGGUACAACGAGUUGCGAACUCGCGAGAGUAAGCUAAUCUCUUAAAGCCAUUCUCAGUUCGGAUUGUAGGCUGCAACUCGCCUACAUGAAGUCGGAAUCGCUAGUAAUCGCGGAUCAGCAUGCCGCGGUGAAUACGUUCCCGGGCCUUGUACACACCGCCCGUCACACCAUGAGAGUU
rnacentral:rRNA from 2 species